rnacentral:rRNA from 1 species
GUUGACCUCGGAUCAGGUAGGAAUACCCGCUGAACUUAAGCAUAUCAAUAAGCGGAGGAAAAGAAACCAACAGGGAUUGCCCCAGUAACGGCGAGUGAAGCGGCAACAGCUCAAAUUUGAAAUCUGGCCCCAGGCCCGAGUUGUAAUUUGCAGAGGAUGCUUUUGGCGCGGUGCCUUCCGAGUUCCCUGGAACGGGACGCCAUAGAGGGUGAGAGCCCCGUACGGUUGGACACCAAGUCUUUGUAAAGCUCCUUCGACGAGUCGAGUAGUUUGGGAAUGCUGCUCAAAAUGGGAGGUAUAUUUCUUCUAAAGCUAAAUAUUGGCCAGAGACCGAUAGCGCACAAGUAGAGUGAUCGAAAGAUGAAAAGCACUUUGAAAAGAGGGUUAAACAGCACGUGAAAUUGUUAAAAGGGAAGCGCUUAUGACCAGACUUGCGCCCGGUGAAUCACCCAGCUCUCGCGGCUGGGGCACUUUGCCGGCUCAGGCCAGCAUCAGCUCGCUGUCGGGGACAAAAGCUUCGGGAACGUAGCUCUCUUCGGGGAGUGUUAUAGCCCGUUGCACAAUACCCUUCGGCGGGCUGAGGUACGCGCUCCGCAAGGUG